AGAAACUUGAAACAACAAAUCAGAUCACAGAAUUAGCAAAGGACAGUCAGAAGAUUCCUCAAUCAGUUCGGUUUAGUAGCUGGUAUUUUCAGAAGAAUUUGGGAAAUUUGGGGGCUAACUUAAUGCAACCUUCAUUGAGCAUCAAAUCAGACAAGAGAACUGUAAUGUACAAGACAUGAUAUCACAAUGCUUUCUAACCAAGCUCGCUAUGCAUGUUUUCUUAGUUUAAUCUUGGAUAUACUCAUCUACAAGGUAAAGUUGAGAAAGUACUUGAUAGUUGAUACUGCCCAUCACCAAUCAUCUGCAUUCCUACAAGUUCACCGG